UGAGAAUCUGCCCUCAGGAGGGGGACAACAGCUGGAAACGGCUGCUAAUACCCCAUAUGCCGCGAGGUGAAAUGAAUUUCGCCUGAGGAUGAGCUCGCGUCUGAUUAGCUAGUUGGUGUAGGUAAUGGCUCACCAAGGCAUCGAUCAGUAGCUGGUCUGAGAGGAUGAUCAGCCACACUGGGACUGAGACACGGCCCAGACUCCUACGGGAGGCAGCAGUGGGGAAUUUUCCGCAAUGGGCGAAAGCCUGACGGAGCAACGCCGCGUGAGGGAUGAAGGCCUCUGGGCUGUAAACCUCUUUUAUCAAGGAAGAAGAUCUGACGGUACUUGAUGAAUAAGCCCACGGCUAAUUCCCGUGCCAGCAGCCGCGGUAAUACGGGAGUGG
rnacentral:rRNA from 1 species